CUGCUGUCGAGAGAAAGCAGAGGCCGGAGCUUGUUUUGUUACGGUGUUUGGUGGUGAAACAAACGUGAGUUUCGGGACGGCGAAGGAGCCAUAUCGGCAACGACGAGGCUGUGCUCCUUCGAGGUAUACUUCUCUGCAGUCUCGCCUUCAGUUUUGCACAGUCGUUGGCUUCUUUUAGCGGGCGCGGCCGCUACUGGAACGGGCUUGAAGCGCGGUGGCGGUAUUUGGCUUCGGCUUUGCAGCAGUGGCGGCGGAGUUGCAGGCGUUGGUUUGGACAGCGAUUUCUUCAUCUUCUUGGCCUUGAGGUCGGCGCCGUGGGGGCUCUUGGCGGCGUCGUGGUGGCUCUUUCGUCGUUCUGAAUCGGAACAAGAGAGAUUGGGGGACGAAGACACGGCUAGUAGCUGCGUCUUCGUCGGAGCUCAGGAGAGGGAUUUUUGAGGAGUGAGAGAGAUUUGGGCCCUUUCUUUGGGCUCUUCUUUUUUACUCAACCAAUUAUUCAAACAGGCCCAAGAGAAUUUGGAGAGAAGGAAAAAAUGUUGGUGGCCGCAAGAACUUAAUGAUGGUGAUCUUCAAAAGACUGAUGCUUUAUUCCAUCGCUGUAUUCAAGAUGGGCGUGGUCUCAUUAACCAACUUCAUGGCAGAUUUUGCCCCAAACGAAAUGCUUUGAGUAUUUGCAAAGUUCGAAAUCUAUUGUCUUCUUUCUUUCAGUUUUGACAUCUCCAUCAGCCCGACUAAAGACCAUCCUCAGAGAGUUCAUCCAAAAAUCUGACAGCAGCCUAUCUAAGACUUUAUUUGAGUGAUGUUUACUUUGCACUUCAGGUGGCUCAAUUGGCUUUUAAUCAGAUUUCGGGUGCGCUCGGAUCUGGGCCAUUGUGAGUCCAACCUUUGAAGAUUGCUGGUUACAUUUUCUCUUUGCGCGCAUUCGAGCAGGCUAGAUGACUCAAUGGUGUUCUAUUAUGUUUGGCGAACAUGUGUUUCAACUCCACGAGCGAAUUCAACUUUAGCUUGGAGAGAAGUGAAGUUGUCGAUGCAUAGCCGACCUCAAUGCCACAUGACUCAAUUCUUUGACAGGUCUUGGGUGCGCUCAGGCCUGGGAUUGUUUGAAUCUGGUUUGAGUGAGGUUGUUGUUAUGUUUGGCAUCUCACGAAGUUGGGAGAAUUCUGCACAACGGCUCGAGAAGAUUGAGUAUUUUCUUCUUGAUGCUUAAGCCAAGGAGAAUGAAGCCAUCGUCCGAAUUGCUUUGAUCAAGGAAGAGCUUGCUAUGAUAGAGAGGUGGAAGACAGAGAUGACGUUGUCCUUCAAGCAAGAUAGUGCCUCCUUUCAUAUUGUCCGAGGUGCAAUCCCAGAAUUCAAAAGAGAGUUUGACAAACAUAAAGUUGCACAUGUUGAUGAGGAAAUGCUGCGGAAUUUUGAAGACUUCAGAGUCACUUUUGAUCUCUGCUCAGAGAACUUUGGAGGAUCAAAACCCAUUUACUUAGUAUUGGUGCAAACCGCAGUUUCUAUCAUUUCUCUCUUGAUGAUUCUUAUUUGGUUUGUGAUGGAUAUUUUGACAUCUUCUCCAAA